UACGUAGGGUGCGAGCGUUGUCCGGAAUUAUUGGGCGUAAAGAGCUCGUAGGCGGUUUGUCACGUCUGCUGUGAAAUCCCGAGGCUCAACCUCGGGCCUGCAGUGGGUACGGGGCAGACUGGAGUGCGGUAGGGGAGACUGGAAUUCCUGGUGUAGCGGUGGAAUGCGCAGAUAUCAGGAGGAACACCGGUGGCGAAGGCGGGUCUCUGGGCCGUAACUGACGCUGAGGAGCGGAAAGCAUGGGGAGCGAACAGG
rnacentral:rRNA from 1 species